rnacentral:rRNA from 1 species
UACAGAGGUCUCGAGCGUUAGGCGGAAUCACUGGGCUUAAAGCGUGUGUAGGCGGGUCGUUAAGUGCCUUGUGAAAUCCCAUGGCUCAACCAUGGAACUGCUGGGCAUACUGGCGAUCUUGUGCCACCUAGGGGCGAGCGGAACAGAUGGUGGAGCGGUGAAAUGCGUAGAUAUCAUCUGGAACGCCAAUGGUGAAAACAGCUCGCUGGGGGUGUGCAGACGCUGAGACACGAAAGCCAGGGGGGCGAACGGG